GUACUUCUGAGGAAUCCCAUAAUAGGACGAAACGGCCGUCAAGCAG
rnacentral:hammerhead_ribozyme from 1 species